rnacentral:rRNA from 1 species
AGUGAACGCUGGCGGUAGGCCUAACACAUGCAAGUCGAACGGCAGCACAGUAAGAGCUUGCUCUUACGGGUGGCGAGUGGCGGACGGGUGAGGAAUACAUCGGAAUCUACUUUUUCUUGGGGGAUAACGUAGGGAAACUUACGCUAAUACCGCAUACGACCUACGGGUGAAAGCAGGGGAUCUUCGGACCUUGCGCGUUUGAAUGAGCCGAUGUCGGAUUAGCUAGUUGGCGGGGUAAAGGCCCACCAAGGCGACGAUCCGUAGCUGGUCUGAGAGGAUGAUCAGCCACACUGGAACUGAGACACGGUCCAGACUCCUACGGGAGGCAGCAGUGGGGAAUAUUGGACAAUGGGCGCAAGCAUGAUCCAGCCAUACCGCGUGGGUGAAGAAGGCCUUCGGGUUGUAAAGCCCUUUUGUUGGGAAAGAAAAGCAGCAGGUUAAUACCCCGCUGUUCUGACGGUACCCAAAGAAUAAGCACCGGCUAACUUCGUG